UACAGAGGGGGCAAGCGUUGUUCGGAAUUACUGGGCGUAAAGCGCACGUAGGCGGCUUCUUAAGUCAGGGGUGAAAUCCUGGAGCUCAACUCCAGAACUGCCUUUGAUACUGAGAAGCUUGAGUCCGGGAGAGGUGAGUGGAACUGCGAGUGUAGAGGUGAAAUUCGUAGAUAUUCGCAAGAACACCAGUGGCGAAGGCGGCUCACUGGCCCGGUACUGACGCUGAGGUGCGAAAGCGUGGGGAGCAAACAGG
rnacentral:rRNA from 1 species